rnacentral:rRNA from 1 species
UACGUAGGGGGCGAGCGUUGCCCGGAUUUAUUGGGCGUAAAGAGCGUGUAGGCGGCCAGGUAGGUCUGCUGUGAAAACUCGAGGCUCAACCUCGAGACGUCGGCGGAAACCAUCUGGCUAGAGUCCGGAAGAGGAGAGUGGAAUUCCUGGUGUAGCGGUGAAAUGCGCAGAUAUCAGGAAGAACACCCGUGGCGAAGGCGGCUCUCUGGGACGGUACUGACGCUGAGACGCGAAAGCGUGGGGAGCGAACAGG